AUUGAAAAUGGAUUUCCCCAAUGGGCAGCGAUAGAGGCCUGCGCUUCCUGAGCACUGUAAUCAAUCGGCUGCCGAGGCGCGGGGCCCUCCUCGCUUAACCAUUCCCUGCCCGACACGGGGAAGGCUGCAGAGAGCUCUGUGGGCGCUCACAUGUUUUCCGCGUGUCGGUCACUGUGCUGCGCCCCUGCAGCAAUUGAGCCAACUAAAGCAUCUGCUGCCUCGAUGGAUAUGCACUGUAGCCCAGGGAACAUGAAUGGUGUGCUGGCUGGCUGUGGUGGAAGCUCCCUGACUCCUGGCCCCACCGCCCUUCCCCAUGCCUGCUGUGGUGACGCCCUGUACGAAGAUCUGACCUCUUACUUCUUUGGAAGGAGAGGAUGAGAUUACCAGAGCUUUGGAUCCAUUUUUGGAUCAAAUGGAAACCGCAAGCUAAUCUUCAGCAUGUCCCUCUCCUCUUACAAACGCUGGCCUCGCUGUCUGGGCGGGGCUCACAGUCCCAGGCUGGAGCGGAAGUGGAAGGUCACAUGCUCAGGAGGCCUGUGGAGCCCUCUUCCUCCUCAGCAGCACUCUGUGUACCUGGAGAAGCCGGAGAAGCCGUGGAUCCACGUACAACUCCAAUGUCACUUCCUUGGAUGAUGCCCCAGGCAGAGUGGCCUGCACUCUCCUCCUUUCUCCCACUGGACUUGUCAUUGGUCACACGUUUUUGCUCACUUGUCCCAGUUCUCAAUAGGACUGUGGGCUCCUCCAGGGAAAAGAUUUCCUUGUGUCAGUGCCUGAUGCUCAGGAGGGCUAAAUAGAUUUUAGACCUUAUGUUGCUUUGUUCCAUGGUACUCAGACAGGUGUGCAUAAGAAUUAUGUGAAAAAUAAAUGCAAAUGCAGAUCCCAGGCCUCAGCCUGGUGAGUUUUAAAAAUCUGCUUCUUUUACCGAGACUACGCAAUUAUGAUGCACAUAUGUUCCCAGCCCACACUAAGAAAUCCAGAAUUGUUCAUCUUCUUGGUGGGGAAACAGAGGGCUAGAGUUACAUGAUUUGCUUCUGGGUCUGUAGCUCCUUAGUAUAAUGAUGAGACCAUGGUUUUUCAGAUAGAACCUUUUCACAUUCCUACAAAGCUAAAUAAGCUAAUCACAGCCACACUGACAACUGCUGUAAGAAAUAUUAAAAACACUUUGAACUGACAUCACUGCACACCACAUUUUAAAAUAGUGACAAGACCGUCCACAGUUAGAUGCUUCUGUUAAACUGGUUUAUAUCCAGACCUCUCCACCCUUUCCUGUCACUGCUAGAAUCUCCCUAGAAUUUCAAGUGAUUUCUUACUGACAGGAGAACAAGUUCUUUGGCAGUUUCUGCCUUUAAAUGUUAUUUGUCUCGAUGGUGUUUACAAAAGUCCAUUCACCACAGCCUCUAUUUCUGCCAGAGUCCUUGGACCCCCUUCUGAUGCUCACGCUUUAUGGAGGCAGAAAUGGGGUCUCCCAGUAGACCCCCUGUUCAGGUAUCUGGUUCCUGCCUAUUUCUUCAGGAAAUCCUUAUUUGCAGGCAGUUGUUUGGAGAGCACUGUGUGUGCUGAUUCCUGCCUUGGGCAGCAGGUGCCACCUAGAGGGCCACCAUGUCUUCAGUAACACAGCCCAAGGAGACUCAGCGGACCUCGACAGGGCUCACGCCAGCAGUUUUGGUGCUGUAGGAGCAGAGAGGAGGGCUGCCAGGUGAGCCUGCAGGGACAGAGGAGGUCUGGUGGUUCAUAGCGCUCAGGGCCCAGCCUUGCUUGAUGUGAUUCUGUAGUAGGAACCAGGCAGGAGAGGAGCGCUAUGUCUUGCCACAAGGUGUCAGUAGUGGGCUGGCCAGGCGAUGGUUCUCUUAGCGGGUGCUAGGAGGACGUCCCAGCACACAGGGACGGAGCUCUCUGGUUGCUUUUCAAAAUUCCUAGUUUGACACUGCCUUUCCUAUUAGCUGGAGCAAGAUGAUUAAGUUACCAGAAGAUCCUCCCUCAGAUCUCCCCUCAGUCCUGCCUAUGAACUAACCUCAUACUUCUCUCAGCCUUUGGAAGAGUGAGAUUGCUCCUAUCAGGCAUCCUGACCACUCCUGCACUGCAGCUUGAAAAGGUCGAGGCAUUUGGAGGAUUCUGGGCUAACACCAGAGAGACAACAGUGUAGGGAGUGUGUGGAGACAGAAUAGUGUGGGCCAGCCAUUUUUUUAAAAUCUGAAGGUAAGUUCUAGCUUGUCUGCUUGCUAGCUGCUUACUGGCUGUCUGAGUUUGUUUCCCUGACUGUAAAAUGGCAUCUUCCCAUUUUCUCCAGUGCUAACAGUCAGAGGGUUCUUAUCUGGGUCAAACGAAAUAAACUGAUUCGCAAACUAUGAGGUGCUGGGUAGAUGUGGGUGCAGCUGUUGAGGCUCAUCUACCCGAGCUGCGUCGUGGAGCUUCCAGCAGACAAGAGGCACAGACACUGCAGCAGGAGGAAGUGGCUGAGUCUUCUCAGAGCAGGUCAUGUGCAGUCUCCAGUGUGAGCUGCCAGCCAUGAACUUCUGAUCCAGCCUGAUAGAGUCAUCUUCCAACUAGAUCCUUCCUGGAUGCCUUUCCAUGGCUGGUGGCCAGGGGGAAAGCUGGCAGUGGAUGCUUGGUCUUCCUUUACUGAGCCUGCUUUUCCAUAUUGGAAGAAGAUGAAAUGAACAUUUCAGAACGUAAGUUUUUCCUGCAGGACAUUAUCCCCGAUGGUGGAGUGAUGGAGAAAAAUAUGAGAUGAAGUCAGGGGAUAACUGAGUACGUACUGAUUUAUAAACCCAUGGAACUGAAUGAAAGCAUUUUUUCCACUGGUGGGGCUAUUUAUGAUGUCCUGGCUGGCUGAAUCCCAAAGUGGAUCAGGCUUCGGUUCCCGAGCAAUAGAAAUAGCGAGACUUAAUUUUCUCCUUUGUGCCUCUGUUUAAAACAUAGGACCCAGCUCAUGUCAAAGUCCAUCCCAGGCACAGGCUGAUCCAAAUCUCACCUUUGUGGUGAAAGGGCACUGGGACACGGGCACGACACAUGGGGAUGAUGGUGAUGAGGAGCUGAGGCUGUCGCUACUGGUCAGUGCUCUGCAGAACUCUCUCAAUGGCCUGCCUUUGGUGGACAAUGCCCCCUGAGCAGUUCUGAUGGGAUUUU